CGGGGUGCACCAGGCGCGAAAACUUUACAAUGCUGGCAACAGCGAUAAGGGGACCUUGAGUGCCAGGAUACAAUCCUGGCUGUCGUGAUGCCCAAAAAGCAUUAUAUAGCAAGGGCCGGGCAAGACCGGUGCCAGCCGCCGCGGUAACACCGGCGGCUCGAGUGGUAACCGCUAUUAUUGGGUCUAAAGGGUCUGUAGCCGGCUUGGUUAGUCUCUUGGGAAAUCCGGCAGCUUAACUGUCGGGCUUUCAGGAGAUACUGCCAGGCUCGAGACCGGGAGAGGUGAGAGGUACUUCAUGGGUAGGGGUGAAAUCUUGUAAUCCUUGAAGGACCACCAGUGGCGAAGGCGUCUCACCAGAACGGAUCUGACGGCAAGGGACGAAAGCUAGGGGCACGAACCGGAUUAGAUACCCGGGUAGUCCUAGCCGUAAACGAUACUCGCUAGGUGUCGGCCACGGUGCGACCGUGGUCGGUGCCGUAGGGAAGCCGUGAAGCGAGCCACCUGGGAAGUACGGCCGCAAGGCUGAAACUUAAAGGAAUUGGCGGGGGAGCAC
rnacentral:rRNA from 1 species